AUUGAACGCUGGCGGCAGGCCUAACACAUGCAAGUCGAACGCGUGGCGGACGGGUGAGUAUUUUCUGGGAAACUGCCCGAUGGAGGGGGAUAACUCCUGGAAACGGUAGCUAAUACCGCAUACCCUCGGAUGUGCCCAGAUGGGAUUCGCUCGUAGGGGGGGUAACGGCUCACCGAGGCGACGAUCCCUAGCUGGUCUGAGAGGAUGACCAGCCACACUGGAACUGAGACACGGUCCAGACUCCUACGGGAGGCAGCAGUGGGGAAUAUUGCACAAUGGGCGCAAGCCUGAUGCAGCCAUGCCGCGUGUAUGAAGAAGGCCUUCGGGUUGUAAAGUACUUUCAGCGAGGAGGCGUUACUCGCAGAAGAAGCACCGGCUAACUCCGUGCCAGCCGCCGCGGUAAUAC
rnacentral:rRNA from 1 species